UCAAAUACGAUGAUCAGAAGAGUAGGCAUAGCAAGGAUACUUUCAGCGAGCUGGGUUUGGUGUGAGCCAGUAAUUAUCUGAUAUGACUGAAAAUCAUCUGUGAGUUGCAGGCUGAACAUUAGUAAGCCUUGCCGGGACCCGUGAGGGUAACAGUGCCCGUUAUUGCGCUGGGGUAUCGAGCAUUGCUCCGUACUUUAAUGAGAGAUUGCAGUCUUCCUAUAAGGACUGUAAUAAUUAGGGUGGUAUCGCGGAUUAACCUCCGUCCCUUUA
rnacentral:ncRNA from 1 species